rnacentral:rRNA from 1 species
UCGAACGGCAGCGCGGACUUCGGUCUGGCGGCGAGUGGCGAACGGGUGAGUAAUGUAUCGGAACGUGCCCAGUAGCGGGGGAUAACUACUCGAAAGAGUAGCUAAUACCGCAUACGCCCUACGGGGGAAAGGGGGGGAUCUUAGGACCUCUCACUAUUGGAGCGGCCGAUAUCGGAUUAGCUAGUUGGUGGGGUAAAGGCCUACCAAGGCUGCGAUCCGUAGCUGGUUUGAGAGGACGACCAGCCACACUGGGACUGAGACACGGCCCAGACUCCUACGGGAGGCAGCAGUGGGGAAUUUUGGACAAUGGGGGCAACCCUGAUCCAGCCAUCCCGCGUGUGCGAUGAAGGCCUUCGGGUUGUAAAGCACUUUUGGCAGGAAAGAAAUUGCAUGGGUUAAUACCCUGUGUGGAUGACGGUACCUGCAGAAUAAGCACCGGCUAACUACGUGCCAGCAGCCGCGGUAAUACGUAGGGUGCAAGCGUUAAUCGGAAUUACUGGGCGUAAAGCGUGCGCAGGCGGUUCGGAAAGAAAGAUGUGAAAUCCCAGGGCUUAACCUUGGAACUGCAUUUUUAACUGUCGAGCUAGAGUGCGUCAGAGGGGGGUGGAAUUCCGCGUGUAGCAGUGAAAUGCGUAGAGAUGCGGAGGAACACCGAUGGCGAAGGCAGCCCCCUGGGAUGACACUGACGCUCAUGCACGAAAG